AUAAGUAGACUCAUAGCAUGCUAGGUCCUCCCUUUUCAUUAUCUUCCUAGGAAAACAGUUACCCAUAGGAGCCCAGAACCUUGCCUAGAGUCACCCUGCCAGCAAGUGGCAGAGCUGCGAUUUGAAUCUGGGGCUUAUGCAUCUGAUUCUGCUGAGGAUGUCAAAUUACCAGGCUUUGGUCUAAGCAGAAGUCAGGGGACAGCAGUGAAAAGAGCACGGUUCCACACCUUGAUGCCGUCUCUCACUUUCCCUCUGUGUGACCUUGGCCUCCAGGACUUCAGCUGUCCAGAAGCUCCCAUACCCUGUCCUCUUGGGCCUUUUAUGGAAACUUCACUGAGUGGACAUGAAGGAUGGACACUGAUGUAGAAAUGUGACUGGACAAAAAAGAUAGAAAGUUUCGCUUUGGAGUGCAGUGAUGCAGUCACGGCUGACUGCAGCCAUAACCUCAUGGGCUCAAGUGAUCCUCCCACCUCAGCCUCCCAAGUAGCUGGGACCACAGGUCUGCAGACUCUGCCCUUGAGGUGGCGAAGAGAGGCCAGAGGUGAACGUGAGAAUGAGAACUGGCAGAACUCAACGUGGAAACGUUGCUGGAGCGAAGAUGGCACCGGCCUCCAUCAUCAACUGCAGGAUUGAAUCACAUGGCACAGCUCCCCAAGAAGCAUUUACAGAAGAAACGAGCCAUAGCAUCACCUCGACUGAACGGUUCUGGCCAGGAUUUCUGUGCAUGUGUUUUAAGAAUUUUAAAAAUUGAGAAAUAAUUCACAUACCAUAAAAUUCACUCUUUAAAAGUGUACAAUUCAGUGGUUUUUAGUGCAUUUCCAAGUUUGUGCAACCAACAUCACUGUCUGAUUCCAGGACAUUUUCAACACCCCCAAAAAGAAACCACUUGCCAGGUUUUUGAAAGGGGCAAAUCUGUGCCAGAGUUGCUGUUGGAGAAAUAGUCUCUGUGAUAAAGAAACUUAAAAUUUCCGCUUCAGAUCUGAACGGUAAAGCUCAUUUCCAGGGAUUUUCUUCCUCUCCCCUCCCCAGCCACUCCAGGCUCAAUCUAGACUUUUAGUUUCUACUGACCUCGAAGAAUUGCCCCACAGAGGCGUUGUCCUGUGUUCCAACACUGUUUUGUGUUUCUGACAUGUGUGUGUAUUUUCUCGUCCUCCUGUUAGUGAAUACUUGUUAUCUCGCAGUUAACUUGUUCUCUUAUCAACCUUUUCUUUCCUCACUGUCUCUAAUCCCCGCAAGCUCCACCUCCCGGGUUCAAGUGCCUCAGCCUCCCAAGUAGCUGGGACUACAGGCGCACACCACCAUGCCCAGCUAAUUUUUUGUAUUUUAGUAGAGAUGGGGUUUCACCAUGUUGGCCAGGAUGGUCUCGAUCUCCUGACCUCAUGAUCCGCUCCUCUCAGCCUCCCAAAGUGCUGAGAUUAUAGGCAUGAGCCACCGUGUCCGGCCAAGGGCAGGAAUUCUUAAUCACUUCUCUCAGAUGACUUCCCACAGCUGGCUUCCUGCAUUUCUCCUUGCUAGGAAUUUUAUAGGAAUGAGGAGUUUAAUGGGUGCAGAGUUUUAGUUGGGGAAGAAGAAAAAGUCCCGGAGAUUAAUGGUGGUGAUGGUUGCAUCGCAAUGUAAAUGAAUGUACUUCAUGCCACAGAACGGUACACUUAAAAAUGGUUAAAAGGGUAAAUUUUAUGUUGUGUAUAUUUUAGAGCAAUAACAAAACAAUAAUUUUACAGGCUGUGGUUAUGAUCCUGCAAGCUGUGAGACUUAGCAAAAAGUGAGUUUCUUCUUCUGUGAAACAGGAAGAACCAUUCAUUCAACAAAUACUUCUCAAGCAUCCCUUAUAAGAAGACAAGAUGGUAUUAUGGUUAAAAACUCAAACUCUAGAGGCUGGUGGCCUGGAUUUGAAUCUUGAUUCUGUGGCUCUCUCACUGUUGGGAAAUGGGCAAGCCAAACUUUUCUCUGUGCCUUAGUUUUCUCAUCUGGAAAAUGGAGAUAGUAGUUCCUCUGUCAUUAGGAUUGUUGUGAGAAAUAAUUGAGUUAAUAUAUUCAAAUAGAACAGGGUCUGGCACAAGAUAAAUGCUACCUGUUAUCAUUAUUAUUAUUACUAUUUGCUUGAGUUAAUGUAUAAAAUAUGUAAACAGUAUGCAGCAUAAAAUAAGUGCUACCUAUAAUUAUUAUUGCUAUUUUGUGCCAGGCACCAUUCUAGAAGGUGGAGAUACAGCAAUGAACCCUUGACUUCCUGGAGCUUACCAUUUAGAGGGGAAAAUAGACAAUAAAUAAGGAAAUGUAUAGUAUGGCAGGUAGUAGUUAAUAUCUGCCUCAUAGUAUUUUUUGUUUUUUUGUUUUUUUGUUUUUUUGUUUUUUGAGAUGGAGUUUCGCUCUUGUUGCCCAAGCUGGAGUGCAAUGGCGCGAUCUCAGCUCACCGCAACCUCCGCCUCCCAGGUUCAAGCAAUUCUCCGGCCUCAGCCUCCCGAGUAGCUGGGAUUACAG